AUGGAGCUCAUGAUGACUCUGUGGAGGUGUUGGCGCGUUCGAAACGAGAUGACGCACCACAAGCGGCCGCCUCCUGUCGAGGUGUCCAAAAGGUUUCUAAUGAGCUAUGUUGACUCCUUGGUUGGCAUCCAGAAGUACCCUAAUGCAGACCCGGUGAAAGGCAAGCAAUUAGUUGAUGUCAUCUUGCCAUGCAAGCCUAUAGUGACUACUCCUGUUGCUAGCCAGCCACCAAGAUGGAUGCCGCCAGUGGAAGGUUGGACAAAGCUUAGUGUGGAUGGUUCCUUCUGCGCGAACUCCGGGACGGCCGGCGCCGGAAUGAUUCUCCUUGACAGCUCCGGCAAGAUCAUCUUCUCUUCCAUUGGAGGCCGAGCUAGCUGCAUGCAUGGAGGGGCUCAACCUCGCACUACAGUGGACCCAGCUCCCUAUUGA
rnacentral:rRNA from 1 species